GAUGAACGCUGGCGGCGUGCUUAACACAUGCAAGUCGAACGAAGCAUUUGCGACAGAUUUUUUCGGAAUGAAGUUGCUUAUGACUGAGUGGCGGACGGGUGAGUAACGCGUGGGUAACCUGCCUUGUACUGGGGGAUAGCAGCUGGAAACGGCUGGUAAUACCGCAUAAGCGCACAAUGUUGCAUGACAUGGUGUGAAAAACUCCGGUGGUAUAAGAUGGACCCGCGUCUGAUUAGCUAGUUGGUGAGAUAACAGCCCACCAAGGCGACGAUCAGUAGCCGACCUGAGAGGGUGACCGGCCACAUUGGGACUGAGACACGGCCCAGACUCCUACGGGAGGCAGCAGUGGGGAAUAUUGCACAAUGGAGGAAACUCUGAUGCAGCGACGCCGCGGGAGUGAAGAAGUAAUUCGUUAUGUAAAGCUCUAUCAGCAGGGAAGAUAGUGACGGUACCUGACUAAGAAGCUCCGGCUAAAUACGUG
rnacentral:rRNA from 1 species